CAGUAGCCGCGGUAAUACAGAGGGUGCGAGCGUUAAUCGGAUUUACUGGGCGUAAAGCGUGCGUAGGCGGCUUUUUAAGUCGGAUGUGAAAUCCCUGAGCUUAACUUAGGAAUUGCAUUCGAUACUGGGAAGCUAGAGUAUGGGAGAGGAUGGUAGAAUUCCAGGUGUAGCGGUGAAAUGCGUAGAGAUCUGGAGGAAUACAGAUGGCGAAGGCAGCCAUCUGGCCUAAUACUGACGCUGAGGUACGAAAGCAUGGGGAGCAAACAGGAUUAGAUACCCCAGUAGUCCCUGUCUCUUAUAC
rnacentral:rRNA from 1 species